AACGAACGCUGGCGGCAUGCCUAACACAUGCAAGUCGAACGAAGCCUUCGGGCUUAGUGGCGCACGGGUGCGUAACACGUGGGAAUCUGCCCUUUGGUUCGGAAUAACAGUUAGAAAUGACUGCUAAUACCGGAUAAUGACGUAAGUCCAAAGAUUUAUCGCCGAAGGAUGAGCCCGCGUAGGGAUUAGGUAGUUGGUGGGGUAAUGGCCCACCAAGCCGACGAUCCUUAGCUGGUCUGAGAGGAUGAUCAGCCACACUGGGACUGAGACACGGCCCAGACUCCUACGGGAGGCAGCAGUGGGGAAUUUUGGACAAUGGGCGCAAGCCUGAUCCAGCCAUGCCGCGUGCGGGACGAAGGCCU
rnacentral:rRNA from 1 species